GACGAACGCUGGCGGCGCGCCUAACACAUGCAAGUCGAACGAGCGAGAGAGAGCUUGCUUUUUCAAACUUAGUGGCGAACGGGUGAGUAACGCGUGAGUAACCUGCCCUGGAGUGGGGGACAACAGUUGGAAACGACUGCUAAUACCGCAUAAGCCCACAGCUCGGCAUCGAGCAGAGGGAAAAGGAGUGAUCCGCUUUGAGAUGGCCUCGCGCCCGAUUAGCUGGUUGGUGAGGUAACGGCCCACCAAGGCGACGAUCGGUAGCCGGACUGAGAGGUUGAACGGCCACAUUGGGACUGAGACACGGCCCAA
rnacentral:rRNA from 1 species